rnacentral:rRNA from 1 species
GAGUCGGACCUGCCCAGUGAAUAAAUUUUAACGGCCGCGGUACUCUGACCGUGCAAAGGUAGCAUAAUCAUUUGCCCUAUAAUUGAGGGCUAGUAUGAAUGGUUUGACGUGAACAAAACUGUCUCUAUAUAAUUUUUUAGAAUUUGAUUUUUAGGUGAAGAAACCUAAAUAAUAUUGAAAGACAAGAAGACCCUAUUGAGCUUUAAAAGAAUGAAUUGAGAACAAUAUAUAAUUCUAAAUAUUAAUCUAUUGAAGAUUUUGGUUGGGGCGACUAUGGAACAAAUAAAGCUUCUUUAUCACUGAGAAAACUGGCAAGUAUUGAUCCAAAAAUUUUGAUCAAUGGAAUUAGUUACCGUAGGGAUAACAGCAUAAUUCUCUUUAAGAGUUCUUAUCGAAAAGAGAGUUUGUGACCUCGAUGUUGGACUAGAAUAUCCUGAAGAUGCAGCAGUCUUUAAGGGUUGGUC